rnacentral:rRNA from 1 species
CCUACGGGAGACUGCAGUGAGGAAUAUUGGUCAAUGGACGAGAGUCUGAACCAGCCAAGUAGCGUGAAGGAUGACUGCCCUAUGGGUUGUAAACUUCUUUUAUAUGGGAAUAAAAUGUUCCACGUGUGGGAUGUUGUAUGUCCCAUAUGAAUAAGGAUCGGCUAACUCCGUGCCAGCAGCCGCGGUAAUACGGAGGAUCCGAGCGUUAUCCGGAUUUAUUGGGUUUAAAGGGAGCGUAGGUGGAUUGUUAAGUCAGUUGUGAAAGUUUGCGGCUCAACCGUAAAAUUGCAGUUGAAACUGGCAGUCUUGAGUACAGUAGAGGUAGGCGGAAUUCGUGGUGUAGCGGUGAAAUGCUUAGAUAUCACGAAGAACUCCGAUUGCGAAGGCAGCUCACUGGACUGCAACUGACACUGAGGCUCGAAAGUGUGGGUAUCAAACAGGAUUAGAUACCCCUGUAGUC